rnacentral:rRNA from 1 species
UUAAGCAUAUUAGUAAGCAGAGGAAUUUCAUCAAACAUGGAUUUUGUAAGUAGUUGCGAAUGAACACAAACUUGAUCAACUUGAAAAUCUUUGUGCACAUGCGUACAAUGAUUUGUUUCAUUGCACAUUGCUAUCAAAGCUGCAUGCAAGUGAUUUUUGAAAGGAUACAACAUGGGAUGUGACAUUCAUGUCUGUGUGCUGGCUUUGCUUACAGCAAUGUGCUCUAUGAAUUCACAUUUCUUGCAAACUGAAAAUGCAAAUCGCAUGGUAAAGCUCAUGUGAUGUGAUAUGUGAUUGAGAUUCAUGAUGUGCAAGUACCAUGAGGGAAAUGUGAAAAGGACUUUGAAAAGAAAAUUAAACAAAGCCUGCAAUUGCUGGUUGUAAACGUAAGUGAGGAUGCUCUCUGUAAUGUUAUUGCAUCAGGUGACAUCCAUACAUGUUGUUGAAUGCUUAACAUUAUUUAUUGCACCACUGAGUGUGCGUACCAGCUCUGAUUUGACUGCUUUCACAUGGAACAGCUAAAUGGAUGCAUGUGUGCACUUGUGUGUAGCUAUGUUAAUCACCAGCAGUAAU